rnacentral:rRNA from 1 species
AUUGAACGCUGGCGGCAGGCCUAACACAUGCAAGUCGAACGCGUCGCGGACGGGUGAGGUAUGUCUGGGACACUGCUCGAUGGAGGGGGAUAACUACUGGACACGGUAUCUAAUACCGCAUACUAUCGGGCGUGCAUAGAUGGGUUUAGCUAGUAGGUGGGGUAAUGGCUCACCUAGGCGACGAUCCCUAGCGGGUCUGAGAGGAUGACCGGCCACAAUGGAACUGAGACACGGUCCAGACUCCUACGGGAGGCAGCAGUGGGGAAUAUUGCACAAUGGGCGCAAGCCUGAUGCAGCCAUGCAGCGUGUAUGAAGAAGGCCUUCGGGUUGUAAAGUACUUUCAGCAAGGAGGCGUUACUCGCAGAAGAAGCACCGGCUAACUCCGUGCCAGCAGCCGCGGUAAUAC